UUGAACGCUGGCGGCAGGCCUAACACAUGCAAGUCGAACGGUAACAGGAAGCAGCUUGCUGCUUUGCUGACGAGUGGCGGACGGGUGAGUAAUGUCUGGGAAACUGCCUGAUGGAGGGGGAUAACUACUGGAAACGGUAGCUAAUACCGCAUAACGUCGCAAGACCAAAGAGGGGGACCUUCGGGCCUCUUGCCAUCGGAUGUGCCCAGAUGGGAUUAGCUUGUUGGUGGGGUAACGGCUCACCAAGGCGACGAUCCCUAGCUGGUCUGAGAGGAUGACCAGCCACACUGGAACUGAGACACGGUCCAGACUCCUACGGGAGGCAGCAGUGGGGAAUAUUGCACAAUGGGCGCAAGCCUGAUGCAGCCAUGCCGCGUGUAUGAAGAAGGCCUUCGGGUUGUAAAGUACUUUCAGCGGGGAGGAAGGGAGUAAAGUUAAUACCUUUACUCAUUGACGUUACCCGCAGAAGAAGCACCGGCUAACUCCGUG
rnacentral:rRNA from 1 species